AUUGAACGCUGGCGGCAGGCCUAACACAUGCAAGUCGAACGAGUGGCGGACGGGUGAGUAAUGUCUGGGAAACUGCCCGAUGGAGGGGGAUAACUACUGGAAACGGUAGCUAAUACCGCAUACCAUCGGAUGUGCCCAGAUGGGAUUAGCUAGUAGGUGGGGUAACGGCUCACCUAGGCGACGAUGCCUAGCUGGUCGGAGAGGAUGACCAGGCAACCUGGAAGUGAGACACAGCACAGACUCGGACGGGAGGCCGCAGUGGAGAAUAUUGAGCAAUGGGGGAGAGUCUGAUGCAGCCAUGCCGCGUGUAUGAAGAAGGCCUUCGGGUGGUAAAGUACUUUCAGCGAGGAGGCGUUACUCGGAGAAGAAGCACCGGCUAACUCCGUGCCAGCCGCCGCGGUAAUUC
rnacentral:rRNA from 1 species